rnacentral:misc_RNA from 1 species
CCUAGAGUUGUAGGCUUUGCCUGCUAUCUCUUACCCAGGUCUUUUUGAGUACUUACGUUUCCUCGGCGGGUCCGCCCGCCGAUUGGACAAUUUAAACCAUUUGCAGUUGCAAUCAGCGUCUGAAAAACUUUAUAGUUA